AAACGCCCACUUCGGAUGGGGAAAGAGGACAACUUGAAGUCAAGUUGCAAUUAACUUCCGCGGCAGCCGCAGCUCCGGCGGCGGCGGCGGCGGCAGGAGAGGCAGAAGCCGCCGCCUCGGAAGUCCGACGCCGGCGCGCCCGCCCGGGGAGCCGUUCCUGGUUUCAGGCCCGCACUCGACAGCCACCGCCGCCCCCAACGUCCAUGCCUGAAAGGUGGGUGCGGCUGCUGUUUGGACGAGAGUUCCCCCUGCAGGACCUUCUGGUGGUCUGGGAUGCCUUGUUUGCAGAUGGCCUCAGCCUGGGUUUAGUAGAUUAUAUCUUCGUAGCCAUGUUACUUUACAUCCGAGAUGCUUAGAAAUCCAAGACCAGUGACUUAUCAAUUCCAUCCAAAUUUAGAUUAUUACAAAGCACGAGGAGCAGACCUCAUGAAUAAAAGCCGGACCAAUGCCAAAGGUGCUCCCCUGAAUAUAAAUAAGGUCUCUAAUAGCCUGAUUAAUUUUGGAAGAAAGUUGAUUUCCCCAGCAAUGGCUCCAGGCAGUGCAGGUGGCCCUGUGCCUGGAGGCAACAGCAGUAGCUCCUCCUCUGUUGUAAUUCCUACCAGGACCUCAGCAGAGGCCCCAAGCCAUCACUUGCAACAGCAACAGCAGCAGCAGAGGCUGAUGAAAUCAGAAAGCAUGCCUGUGCAAUUGAACAAAGGGCAAAGUUCUAAAAACAUCAGUUCAUCUCCAAGCGUUGAGAGUUUGCCUGGAGGAAGAGAAUUCACUGGUUCUCCACCUUCAUCUGCUACUAAAAAAGAUUCCUUUUUUAGCAACAUCUCACGUUCCCGCUCACACAGCAAAACUAUAGGCAGAAAAGAAUCUGAAGAAGAAUUAGAAGCCCAAAUUUCCUUCCUUCAAGGACAGUUGAAUGACCUGGAUGCCAUGUGCAAAUACUGUGCAAAGGUGAUGGACACUCAUCUUUUAAAUAUUCAAGAUGUGAUAUUACAAGAAAAUUUGGAAAAAGAAGAUCAAAUUCUGGUUUCCCUGGCAGGAUUAAAACAGAUCAAAGACAUUCUAAAAGGUUCCCUGCGUUUUAACCAGAGCCAGCUAGAGGCCGAAGAGAACGAACAGAUCACCAUUGCGGACAACCACUACUGCUCCAGCGGCCAGACCCAGGGCCGAGGCCAAGGCCAGAGCGAUCAAAUGUCUGGGGCCGUUAAACAGGCCUCUUCAGAAAUGCCAGGGUGCACCGAUAGAGGGAGUUCCGAUGACUUCAUCCUGAUUUCCAAAGAAGAUGAUGGGAGCAGUGCCAGGGGCUCCUUCUCCGGCCAGGCCCAGCCUCUUCGCACCCUCAGAAGCACCUCUGGGAAAAGCCAGGCCCCAACCUGCUCCCCACUGAUGUUCUCAGAUCCGCUGAUGGGCCCAGCCUCAGCUUCCUCCAGCAACCCCAGCUCCAGUCCUGAUGACGACAGCAGCAAGGACUCUGGCUUCACCAUUGUGAGUCCCCUGGACAUCUGACCACAGUGCCCAGUCCUGCCCCACAGGGAUCUAGCCACCCUUUAGUGGCCCCAAGGCCAGACUGAGGCUCGUCCAGUGGAGAACCUUCUUAAACCACUGCUUCCUUCCCGGCAUGCAUUUGGCAUUGGUCCAGCCCUUUGAAACCCCUUAGAGAGAAGCAUAAAUGGCCACAAAGCACACAGGCUUAGGUUUGCCAAAUGCAGACAGGGCUUUCUGGGCCCUUACCUAAUCCCCACCCGACUCUUGAUCUGAGUUAGAGCGGAGUUACGUACCCAGUAUCACACUCACAGUUUGAAAAGACCGAAUCACAAUUAGAAUCACUUUUCCUCUGUCCCCUGCUCCCCAGCUAAGAAUGUGUGGCAACUCCAUCAGUUAUACUUAGAAGGAGGAGAAAUAGUUAUUUUCGUAUCUUCUGUCCCUCAAAGCAUCAGACAUAGGAAAAUUGGUUUAUACCAAGAAAGCUUCCUCUGUGGAAAUCUGUCUCAGCCUACUUUAUUUCUACAUUGGGAAGCCAUAUCGCAGAGCUAAAUGCAAUAGAAUGAACUAGAACUAGUGAAUUCCAGGGCUGGGGGGGAAAAAAAAAAAAAAAAAAAAAAA
rnacentral:sRNA from 1 species